UUCCAUUUAACCUGCCUUACCACAGCUGCAUCCCCACACAGCUGUUUUCAAUUUUGACAAUUUUUGGUCUCAGUCGGCGUCUCACUGUGCGAUGUGACUGACCAAAAAUAAUUGAUGACCAACAACAACCACAUUUCUCUCAUGGUUGUCAACUUUUUCUCCGGCGGAUUAAGAUUUCACGGUACACAUGGGGACUUUCACUUUAGAAGGGCACAGGAAGUUUUUUGGCUUUAGUGAGGGACCCGGAGGGAACAUCCAUCCUCUUCUCCCGGAAAAAUGACAAUAUGAACUGAAGAGAGUCUGUUGGUAGACCAGCGAAUCCUGAACUGCUGCUACGUUUCUUACAACAGCAGCACGUUGUUCACGUCUGCUUACAUGCUUCCUCGCCGGUCGUCUUCUUCGGUGAGGAUCACGCUGGAGAGGCCUAACUCAGACCCAAGAAGAAGCAGCAACAUCCCUCCUUAAAAAGAGCUGACUCAGACAAAAAAGAGCAUUCUGCCAACGCAUGGUUAUAUACCAAUCUGUGCACGGGACAAUGGAAAGGUCAACGGGUUCAUCGAAAGUAUUGUGAAUCGACCUGUGGGGUGCAAUGGUUAGUCUGGUCCUCCUGUGCUCCAUCUUUCAAUGGACCACUGCUCCAUUGUCGUCUUUUCGUAGCUCGGCAUGUCGAUUGCAAGAUACGAGAUGUUACAUUUUGCUUUCCAUACUUCUAUUCUGGAAGAUAAAUUCUUUUUAGCAUUAUUGUGACUUAUGGUAACCAAUAAGGAUUUAGAUUCACCCUUCUUUUGGCACCUGCGUCUUUGGGGUAACGUCCAACAGACACACACUCCCACGCACAAAAAUACCCACGUCAGCAAUCGUCAUCAGCGUUCUGUUACUGUGUCAACGUGUGAGUCACUGUGACUGGGAACACCCGCGCGGCAGAGUCACUGCAGCCCUGGGAGUCCACGUCAGUGUGUGUCUGUGUGAGAGUGCCUUGUGUGUGAGUGUGAGUGAGUCUGUAGAGGGAUUUAGGGCCCAAAGCGUUGAGCAAUCUGAUCUUCGGGGGGGCAUUCGAUGACGGAGGGGACCUUCUGUCCCUCUGCUGCUCUCAGUCGCUCACUACUUUUUGUGUGCACAACGACAGUAUACAAACAAUGUGCAGAAACACCCGGAGGCCCCGUCUGAAUGAUGGGUUGGUAGCUGCUGGCUUGUUUUGGUUGUUUCCGGUUUCGAAUUUUCAAGCUUCUGACUUAAUCUGAUCCUACAUAUUUUCUCCCGUGUCCCAUGGUUCAAAAAUAUCGUUGCUGAAGCCUUUCGUUGACUCUUUGUCAUGUUUUUCACCGACUCAAAGACACUCUCCUUACAUGGUUAGAUUUAGAUUGCUCAUGGUUGUUCUAUCAGUAACAGUUCUAUGGACUUAAUGUUGACUUGCCGCUGAUGUAAAGGGAGCAUUUAGACUACGCUUGUUGACUGUUAUUUAUCCUAAAUUAGAAGAGAUGCACUGUGCACCCACAUACUACCGUACUGUUUAGUGUGGUUCAAUACAAGGUAUGUCAAAUGCAAUCUGCAAUGAAAUGCCAGGAUGUUAUUUUCUGACACCUUUCAGAAAAGAGUCAUUCACGAGUUGAAGACCGACAGUGAUGUCCAUCUGUUCACCAUCUUUAUUUAGAAUGUGGGCAGAAUUUUGUUGCAGUUUGCUGCAUGUUUGAUUACACUGUGUUUUAAUUUGUUUGUUAGUACUUUUGUACCAAAUGCCAGCCUGCACUUUAUUCCUUAAUCCAUGAUAACCAACCAACUCAUUGGUGUUCUUCUAUUCCUUUCUAAUAAUGUUAACAAUAAUGUGCAUGCUUUUAUUAAAAGUUGCCUAUAAAGAGACUGGUCACGUGGAUGUGCCACUCACAAAACUCAUUAAAACGGGGUUUUCUGUUUCAGUGUUUGGCCACAGCAGGAAGCCGCAAGCCAACACUGUUGGGUGGACCUCACACAGAAAGCAAACAUAAAGGAACCACACCAAGGGGAGAAUGUAAACUGGCCCUUCAUUCAACAUAACGUUGUGUUUCCUCUAUCAUCCUUGGUUUUACAUUUGCGGCUUUCUCACCUGUUUCAUCUGAUGCUGUUUGGGCUGUUUUCACUCUACAUCUGGUUGAGAUCGCUCUUGCGCAAGAAACUCAUUCAAUAAGGGUCAACACAUGUAUAGAUAGAGCAUUUAUAUAAGCAGCUGCAGAAGGACUAACAAUUGUUGUGUUGUAGCGAAAAACAAACCAUAAUUGUUGUUGUUAUGCGAUAGGAUGUUGUCAGGUGACACUGGCUUGGACUUUGAUAGGGUCCUUUAAAGGCCGCAUGGGCUGAUCCGAGCGGUCGCUGAUCUGAGACGAUCUGACUCUCUGCUUGCAUCUGCCGCUCUGGUUGCCUAGCAACAGCAAGUAGUAAAAUAUAGCAAAAGCCUUGAAACGCAAAAAACAUAUAAAAGGGCAGCCAGAAUCAGAUUCAGAUCGGUUAAGUCAAUGGUUGCCAAACUUUUUCUGUCUAGGGGGCCUUGUCUUUUUUCCUCUGUCUCUGUUUUUUUCUCCCUCUCUUCCUCCCUUUCUCCCUCUCCAUCCAUCUCUUUCUCUCGCCCUCUCUCUGCCUCCUUGCUGCGCUCGUCUCCCUGUAACUUGAGCCGCUCUGGGGGGGUUGGUUCCAACACAACGCAUGUCAAGUCCUCAUGUGGGUUUCGUUUUUUUUGCUGUGUGUUGGGGUUGGUGAUGAAGCUGCGACCCCCCACCCCUCCCACCCCCCCAGCUCGGGAACCACUCGGUUAAGCACAUGUCAUUUCAGCUAAAAGUAAUAUUGCAAUCUUAAGGCAGAGAAAAUCAAUUACUACAGUCAAUAAAAAAACAUUAAUGUCAGCAAACAUUUUAUAAACUUGAAUGCAGAGAAUUGCUUUUUUCUUCUUGUAUAUGAAACAACCUAAUUUGACUGUAACCAUAAGACAUUACAAAAUAUUUCCAAGCUGCAGUAGCUUAAUCUUAUAAAUUUGGUAUUUUUUUUAAUGUAUUUUGGUACUUUGAUAUUCAUGUAUGCUGUGGGGGGCAAAGGGGGCCGCAUGACUGACAGGAGUUUGUUUGGAGAAAAACGACAUUACCAACGUCCCGUUAAGGGAUUGUUUAAACAGAAAUGUAAUGUUAUAUAUCAUAUUAUAAUAUUUCUAUCUACAGAUAUUCGAGUGAACUGCAGUACUUACAUUUAAAAGUGAACUCC
ensembl:lncRNA